rnacentral:rRNA from 1 species
GACGAACGCUGGCGGCGUGCUUAACACAUGCAAGUCGAACGGAAAGGCCCUGCUUUUGUGGGGUGCUCGAGUGGCGAACGGAUGAGUAACACGUGAGUAACCUGCCCUUGACUUUGGGAUAACUUCAGGAAACUGGGGCUAAUAACGGAUAGGAGCUCCUUCUGCAUGGUGGGGGUUGGAAGGUUUCGGCGGUUGGGGAUGGACUCUCGGCUUGUGGGCUUGUUGGUGGGUGGUUGGCUUACCAAGGCUUUGACGGGUAGCGGGCCGGAGAGGUUGACCGGCCAGAUUGGGACUGAGGUACGGCCCAGACGCCUACGGGAGGCAGCAGUGGGGAAUAUUGCACAAUGGGCGGAAGCCUGAUGCAGCAACGCCGCGUGGGGGAUGACGGCCUUCGGGUUGUAACCCGCUUCCGCCUGUGACGAAGCGUGAGUGACGGUAAUGGGUAAAGAAGCACCGGCUAACUACGUG